UGUGACGCCAUGGGGGUAGGACGCCGGGAACUAUUCCCUGGUUUCCUUUCCUGGAUGAGAACGUUGUUUCUUUCCUAAACUCCCUGGUGGUGUGGGAGAAGACGGACCAGUCUUUGCCGCGAGGGCUUGGUGAGAAGCUCCUUCUAUGCCUUGCAGCUGUUGAACUUGGCCUCACAACCUCAGCCCUCCUGCCGAAGGGGGCCAUGCAGUUUGGAUCUAGAAUUGUAAAACUGGAGAAAACUGACAGAAAGCAUCUGAUAAGUGUGGAAGGCUUCAAAUCUUACCUUAGAAAACCUCUCUCAAGAAGAUUACAUCAUAAUGUGAUUCCACCCUGUACCAACACUGUGUGACAGUCACUAAAAAUAAACAACUGCUGCCUUA